rnacentral:lncRNA from 1 species
UUUUUUUUGUUUUGAAAAAAUAUAUACCUCGUUUUUUUUUUACGAAACAAAAUACUAUUACUCUAUUAGUGUUACUUUUUAUUUUUUAUUUUUUUUGAGGUAAGUGUUAUUUUCUUUAUUCUCUGUUAUUAGUAUUACUCUAUUAGUGUUACUUUUUUUUUUGUUUUUUAGGUAAAUGUUAUUUUCUUUAUAAAGUGGAAACACUUAAAUGAUAAUAAAUAUAAGAUAAAAUUUUAGUGAAUAAAAUUUAAUUUAA